UGGGGUGCAGGUCAGUGGUAGAACUCUUGCCUAGCAUGCAUGAGACUCUGGGUUCAAUCCCCAGCACUAUAA
rnacentral:tRNA from 1 species